AGUGGCGGGAGCGGCCCCUCGG
rnacentral:miRNA from 1 species